rnacentral:tRNA from 1 species
AAAAUAGUGGCCGAAUUAAGGUGUUAGUCUCUUAAAUUAAUAAUGAAAUUUAAGUAGUUAAAUUA